rnacentral:rRNA from 1 species
GCAGACAAAGAGGGGACCUUCGGGCCUCUUGCCAUCAGAUGUGCCAGAUGGGAUUAGCUAGUAGGUGGGGUACGGCUCACUAGGCGAAGAUCCUAGCUGGUCUGAGAGGAUGACCAGCCACAACUGGAACUGAGACACGGUCCAGACUCCUACGGGAGGCAGCAGUGGGGAAUAUUGCACAAUGGGCGCAAAGCCUGAUGCAGCCAUGCCGCGUGUAUGAAGAAGGCCUUCGGGUUGUAAAGUACUUUCAGCGGGGAGGAAGGUGUUGUGGUUAAUACCACAGCAAUUGACGUUACCCGCAGAAGAAGCACCGGCUAACUCUGUGCCAGCACCGCGGUAAUACGGAGGGUGCAAGCGUUAAUCGGAAUUACUGGGCGUUAAAGCGGCACGCAGGCGGUCUGUCCAGUCGGAUGUGAAAUCCCCGGGCUCAACCUGGGAACUGGAUUCAAACUGGCAGGCUAAGUCUUGUAAGGGGGGUAAAAUUCCCAGGUGUACGGUGAAAUGCGUAAAAUCUGGAGGAAAUACCGGGUGGCGAAAGGCGGCCCCUGGAACAAGAAUUGACGGCUCAGNUGCAAAACGUGGGGAGCAAACCGGAUUUAA